AACGCUAGCUACAGGCUUAACACAUGCAAGUCGAGGGGCAGCAUUUUAGUUUGCUUGCAAACUGAAGAUGGCGACCGGCGCACGGGUGAGUAACACGUAUCCAACCUGCCGAUAACUCCGGGAUAGCCUUUCGAAAGAAAGAUUAAUACCGGAUGGCAUACGAAUAUCGCAUGAUAUUUUUAUUAAAGAAUUUCGGUUAUCGAUGGGGAUGCGUUCCAUUAGUUUGUUGGCGGGGUAACGGCCCACCAAGACUACGAUGGAUAGGGGUUCUGAGAGGAAGGUCCCCCACAUUGGAACUGAGACACGGUCCAAACUCCUACGGGAGGCAGCAGUGAGGAAUAUUGGUCAAUGGGCGAGAGCCUGAACCAGCCAAGUAGCGUGAAGGAUGAAGGCUCUAUGGGUCGUAAACUUCUUUUAUAUGGGAAUAAUGUUUUCCACGUGUGGAAUUUUGUAUGUACCAUAUGAAUAAGGAUCGGCUAACUCCGUGCCAGCAGCCGCGGUAAUACGGAGGAUCCGAGCGUUAUCCGGAUUUAUUGGGUUUAAAGGGAGCGUAGGUGGAUUGUUAAGUCAGUUGUGAAAGUUUGCGGCUCAACCGUAAAAUUGCAGUUGAAACUGGCAGUCUUGAGUACAGUAGAGGUGGGCGGAAUUCGUGGUGUAGCGGUGAAAUGCUUAGAUAUCACGAAGAACUCCGAUUG
rnacentral:rRNA from 1 species